rnacentral:rRNA from 1 species
CCUACGGGUGGCAGCAGUAGGGAAUAUUGCACAAUGGGGGAAACCCUGAUGCAGCAACGCCGCGUGGGGGAAGAAGGUUUUCGGAUCGUAAAGCCCUUUCAUCAGGGAAGAAAAUGACGGUACCUAACGAAUAAGCCCCGGCUAACUCCGUGCCAGCAGCCGCGGUAAUACGUAGGGGGCAAGCGUUACCCGGAUUUACUGGGCGUAAAGAGCGCGCAGGCGGGAUAGCAAGUCAGAUGUGAAAUCCUAGGGCCCAACCCUAGGACUGCAUUUGAAACUGUGAUUCUGGAGUAUGGGAGGGGCAGGUGGAAUUCUUGGUGUAGGGGUAAAAUGCGUAGAGAUCAAGAGGAAUACUAGUUGCGAAGGCGACCUGCUAGAACAUAACUGACGCUGAGGCGCGAAAGCGUGGGGAGCAAACAGGAUUAGAUACCCCGGUAGUC